CCUAGUAACGGCGAGUGAAGCGGGAAGAGCUCAAAUUUGAAAUCUGGUGGCCUCAGGUCAUCCGAGUUGUAAUCUAUAGAAGUGUUUUCCGUGCUGGCUCAUGUACAAGUCCCUUGGAACAGGGCGUCAUAGAGGGUGAGAAUCCCGUCCUUGACAUGAACUACCAGUGCUCUGUGAUACAUUUUCAACGAGUCGAGUUGUUUGGGAAUGCAACUCAAAAUGGGUGGUAAAUUCCAUCUAAAGCUAAAUAUUGGCGAGAGACCGAUAGCGAACAAGUACCGUGAGGGAAAGAUGAAAAGCACUUUGGAAAGAGAGUUAAACAGUAUGUGAAAUUGUUAAAAGGGAAACGAUUGAAGUCAGUCGUGCUCUUUGGAUUCAGCCGGUUCUGCCGGUGUACUUCCUUUGAGUGGGGUCAACAUCAGUUUUGAUCGCUGGAUAAAGGCUGGAGGAACGUAGCACCCCCGGGUGAACUUAUAGCCUCCUGUCACAUACAGUGGUUGGGACUGAGGAACGCAGCACGCCUUUAUGGCCAGGAUCCGUCCAUGUACGUGCUUAGGAUGUUGACAUAAUGGCUUUAAACGACCCGUCUUGAAACACGGACCAAGGAGUCUAACAUAUCUGCGAGUAUUUGGGUGUCAAACCCAAGUGCGCAAUGAAAGUGAAUGUAGGAGGGAUCCGCAAGGAGCACCUUCGACCGAUCUGGAUCUUUAGUGAUGGAUUUGAGUAAGAGCAUAUAUGUUGGGACCCGAAAGAUGGUGAACUAUGCCUGAAUAGGGCGAAGCCAGAGGAAACUCUGGUGGAGGC
rnacentral:rRNA from 1 species